UUACGCGUACUCAACGUGACGUCGCCGUUCUCGAUCCGCAUCUGGACCCGAUAGCCGUCGAACUUGAUCUCGUGCACCCAGUUGCUGCCGGAGGGCGGGUUCUCGACGGAUGCACACAACUGCGGCUCGACGAAAUCAGGCAGCUUCGUAACGCGCUUUACGGCGGCUCUUGAUUUUGCGUGUUUGGCAACGGGCUUUUCCUUUGCGGCCGAGGUCUUGACGUGGCCCUUCCUG
rnacentral:misc_RNA from 1 species